GGCCCUGGGUUCGAUUCCUCAGCACCACAUAAGCAAAAAGAAAAAAGCCGGACAAAGCCUUACAGACAGGUGCAAAUAGUAAAUCCUCUUUUGCAACCCAGAACUCAUUGCUGGUAUGAGAUUUUGGUACAUGUAAGAAGGAAUAUG
ensembl:snoRNA